UUACUUUGGCAGCACAUAUACUAAAACUGGAAUGAUACAGAGAAGAUUAGCAAGGUCCCUGUGCAAGGAUAACACACAAAUUGGUGAAGCCUACCGUAUUUUU
rnacentral:snRNA from 1 species